UACGUAGGGGGCAAGCGUUGUCCGGAUUUAUUGGGCGUAAAGAGCGUGUAGGCGGCCAGGUAGGUCUGGUGUGAAAACUCGAGGCUCAACCUCGAGAGGUCAUCGGAAACCAUUUGGCUAGAGUCCGGAAGAGGAGAGUGGAAUUCCCGGUGUAGCGGUGAAAUGCGCAGAUAUCGGGAAGAACACCUAUGGCGAAGGCAGCUCUCUGGGACGGUACUGACGCUGAGGAGCGAAAGCGUGGGGAGCGAACAGG
rnacentral:rRNA from 1 species